AAUGAACGCUGGCGGCAGGCCUAAAACAUGCACGUCGAACGCCCUAGCAAUAGGGAGUGGCGCACGGGUGAGUAACAUGUGGGAAUAUGCCUUUUGGUACGGAACAACGUUUGGAAACGAACGCUAAUACCGUAUGGUCACUCCGGGGUAAAGAUUUAUCGCCAAAAGAUUAGCCCGCACUAGAUUAGCUAGUUGGUAAGGUAAUGGCUUACCAAGGCGACGAUCUAUAGCUGUUCUGAGAGGAAGAUCAGCCACACUGGGACUGAGACACGGCCCAGACUCCUACGGGAGGCAGCAGUUAGGAAUAUUGGACAAUGGGCGCAAGCCUGAUCCAGCCAUGCCGCGUGAGUGAUGAAGGCCUUCGGGUUGUAAAGCUCUAUAGCCGACGAAUAUAAUGACUGUAGUCGGAGAAUAAGCCCCGGCUAACUUCGUGCCAGCCGCCGCAGUAACAC
rnacentral:rRNA from 1 species